GAAACGCGAAAGGUAAUGCGAAUUGCAGAAUCAGUGAGUCAUCGAAUCUUUGAACGCACAUUGCGCCUCUCGGUAUUCCGGGAGGCACGCCUGUUCGAGCGCCAUUACACACCCCAAGCUCAGCUUGAUGUUGGACGCUGUCUGUGAAAGGACAGGUCUGGAACGCGUGGGCGCCGCCGCCGGACCACGAGCGUAGCAAGACGCAAGUCAUCGCUCGGUGGGCUCACACGGUGGACGGCCGUCUAGAUGCUGGGUAACAGCUGCGUCGAAAACACACGACCAAAGUUUGGCCUCGGAUCAGGCGGGGAUACCCGCUGAACUUAA
rnacentral:misc_RNA from 1 species